CGGGGCUUAAAGUCUUGUAAUUGGAAUGAUGGGAAUUUAAACCCUUUCCAGAGUAUCAAUUGGAGGGCAAGUCUGGUGCCAGCAGCCGCGGUAAUUCCAGCUCCAAUAGCGUAUAUUAAAAUUGUUGCAGUUAAAAAGCUCGUAGUUGAAUUUCUGCUGCAUUGCUUGUGUCCCUCUGGGGUCUGUGCAUGUGGCUUUUUUCGGACGGAGUUUCUUUGUCUGAAUGUUUACUUUGAGAAAAUUAGAGUGCUCAAAGCAGGCUUUCGCCUUGAAUAGUUUAGCAUGGAAUAAUAAAGUAGGACUUUGGUUCUAUUUUGUUGGUUUUAGGUACCAAAGUAAUGGUUAAUAGGAACAGUUGGGGGCAUUCGUAUUUAACUGUCAGAGGUGAAAUUCUUAGAUUUGUUAAAGACGAACUACUGCGAAAGCAUUUGCCAAGGAUGUUUUCAUUAAUCAAGAAC
rnacentral:rRNA from 1 species